rnacentral:tRNA from 1 species
CCUUAAAUAGCUCAGCUGGCAGAGUGGAGGACUGUAGUGUGUGUUUGGCAAGUGGUCCUUAGGUUGCUGGUUCAACUCUAGCUUGAAGGA